UACAGAGGGUGCAAGCGUUAAUCGGAAUUACUGGGCGUAAAGCGUGCGUAGUCGGUUAUUUAAGUCGGAUGUGAAAUCCCCGGGCUCAACCUGGGAAUUGCAUUCGAUACUGGAUAGCUAGAGUUCGGCAGAGGGUGGUGGAAUUCCGGGUGUAGUGGUGAAAUGCGUAGAGAUCCGGAGGAACCCCAGAGGCGAAGGCGGCCACCUGGCUCAGUUCUGACGCUCAGACGACGACAGGCAUGGGGACGCGGAACGGG
rnacentral:rRNA from 1 species